rnacentral:SRP_RNA from 2 species
GCCGGGCGUGGUGGCACACACCUGUAAUCCCAGCUACUCAGGAGGCUGAGGCAGGAGAAUCGCUUGAACCCAGGAGGCAGAAGUUGUAGUGAGCCAAGAUCGCACCACUGCACUCCAGCCUGGGUGACAAAGCGAGACUCUGUCUCUA